UGAUGACACAAGCAAGGAAAGUAACACUCAGAGACAGUGUUGGAUAGAUCAGGAAAGGGAGGAAGUGCCCGUUCACCACCGGAGAGGUAGGAGUGACACAACGACCCCCCUCUCCUGUUUGGCUGUGCCUUUAUUUGCAACAAAUAGGAGAAGUAGCCAAUCACAAAAGGACUCGGACAAUGUGUUUUCUUCAAUGACAAAAGAGACUCUUCAAGCAGGCCUUAUCAGUUUUAGGCUCAAGUCAACUUUUUAGUGACUAAACAGAAUCGCGGCAAUCAUCUUUUUAAUAACUGGACAAAAUCGACAUGGCAAGGAAACAAUUUAUUUUACAAGUAGAAAUUAAAAUGGACCAUUACAGUUCCGCUUCGCGAUCGACCGAGCGUCUUGCAUCGCCCGUGCUUAUCGUGAUACCGCAGGUAAGGAGCAGUCGCCGGAAAGGCCGCUGGCUCUAUUGAGCCAGGACGGUGGAGACGGCUCUCCAGUGCACGGCGGGGUUGCCCGGAAACGCUCUCCCUUUCAGAUGGCUGCUUUCCCAGUAACCGUGAGAUUUACACCGCAUCCCACCGUCCGCCCAAAGAGGAAGGUUUCAGCUGGAUCUGCCUCAGGGAAGCUGAGUCACCACGAUCCAUCUCCCUUCGCGUGACCCCUUCUCCCAGAGAAGUUUCGUCCCCUUACAGGACGUUCUUUGCAAUAGCGUUCAAGGCCCUGACUUUGGCCACAUCAGUUACCUUUAACGAAUAUUCCGAGUGGGAGAGUGCCGCUCCCAUGGCAACACAAGUGUUUCUGUAAAAAAGAAAUCAUAAACGGACCGAUUACGCUCUAAAUCUUA